GGCGGCGUGCCUAACACAUGCAAGUCGAACGAGGUCCAUCCUUCGGGAGAAGACCUAGUGGCGAACGGGUGAGUAACACGUGAGGAACCUGCCCCGAAGACCGGGAUAACCCUCCGAAAGGAGAGCUAAUACCGGAUACCCCCACCGAACCGCAUGGUUUGGUGAGGAAAUGGAUUCCGCUUCGGGAGGGCCUCGCGGCCUAUCAGCUAGUUGGUGGGGUAACGGCCCACCAAGGCAUCGACGGGUAGCUGGUCUGAGAGGACGAUCAGCCACACUGGGACUGAGACACGGCCCAGACUCCUACGGGAGGCAGCAGUGGGGAAUCUUGCGCAAUGGGCGAAAGCCUGACGCAGCAACGCCGCGUGGGGGAUGAAGGCUCUCGGGUUGUAAACCCCUUUCAGCAGGGACGAAUCAAGACGGUACCUGCAGAAGAAGCCCCGGCUAACUACGUGCCAGCAGCCGCGGUAACACGUAGGGGGCAAGCGUUGUCCGGAUUUAUUGGGCGUAAAGAGCUCGUAGGUGGCUGAGUAAGUCGGAUGUUAAAUCCCCAGGCUCAACCUGG
rnacentral:rRNA from 1 species